UUCUUCGUCUCCAAGGUAGCGCGUUGAUCGAUCGGAAGUCCAUAGCAGCCAUAUUGGAUCGCAGUCAAAAUAAGAAACCCCUUAGAAAGAGGCACCAUGUUGGUUUAAAUUAUCGUUUUUGGGUACGCCACAAUAUAGUCAAGUCUGCUGAAUAUAUGCUUGAAGCUUGACCCAGACAACAGAUUCGUCUUAACGCUGCGCAUCAGUCAGACGUAUUCCCAGUUGGAACCACGCUGAAGACUUAUUGCCUGAAAUGCUUCACAAGUGAAAUGAACG